CGCGGGAUAGAGCAGUUGGUAGCUCGUCGGGCUCACUAACCGAGGGUCGGGGUUCACGUCCCUCCCGCAACCA
rnacentral:tRNA from 1 species